rnacentral:rRNA from 1 species
UACGUAGGUCCCGAGCGUUGUCCGGAUUUAUUGGGCGUAAAGCGAGCGCAGGUGGUUUAUUAAGUCUGGUGUAAAAGGCAGUGGCUCAACCAUUGUAUGCAUUGGAAACUGGUAGACUUGAGUGCAGGAGAGGAGAGUGGAAUUCCAUGUGUAGCGGUGAAAUGCGUAGGUAUAUGGAAGAACACCAGUGGCGAAAGCGGCUCUCUGGUCUGUAACUGACGCUGAGGUUCGAAAGCGUGGGUAGCAAACAGG